AACGGCGAGUGAAGCGGCAAGAGCUCAAAUUUGAAAUCUGGCCCCCUUGGGGGGUCCGAGUUGUAAUUUGUAGAGGAUGCUUCGGGUGUGGCCGCCGUCUAAGUUCCUUGGAACAGGACGUCACAGAGGGUGAGAAUCCCGUCUUGGGCGGCCGGUCCGCGCCCGUGUGAAGCUCCUUCGACGAGUCGAGUUGUUUGGGAAUGCAGCUCUAAGCGGGUGGUAAAUUUCAUCUAAAGCUAAAUACUGGCCGGAGACCGAUAGCGCACAAGUAGAGUGAUCGAAAGGUUAAAAGCACCUUGAAAAGGGAGUUAAACAGCACGUGAAAUUGUUGAAAGGGAAGCGCUUGCGGCCAGACUCGGGGGCGGGGUUCAGCGGGCGCUCGUCGCCCGUGCACUCCCCGUCUCCCGGGCCAGCAUCAGUUUCGACGGCCGGUCAAAGGCCCCCGGAAUGUGUCGUCUCUCGGGACGUCUUAUAGCCGGGGGUGCAAUGCGGCCCGCCGGGACUGAGGAACGCGCUUCGGCCCGGAUGCUGGCGUAAUGGCCGUAAGCGGCCCGUCUUGAAACACGGACCAAGGAGUCUAACAUCCACGCGAGUGUUCGGGUGUCAAACCCGUGCGCGCAGUGAAAGCGAACGGAGGUGGGAGCCUUAGGGCGCACCAUCGACCGAUCCUGAAGUCUUCGGAUGGAUUUGAGUAGGAGCGUGGCCGUUGGGACCCGAAAGAUGGUGAACUAUGCCUGAAUAGGGUGAAGCCAGAGGAAACUCUGGUGGAGGCUCGCAGCGGUUCUGACGUGCAAAUCGAUCGUCAAAUUU
rnacentral:rRNA from 1 species